CACGUAGGGGACGAGCGUUGUCCGGAUUCAUUGGGCGUAAAGCGCGCGUAGGCGGCUCGGAAAGUCGGGCGUGAAAUGCCGGGGCUCAACCCCGGGACUGCGUCCGAUACUUCCGAGCUGGAGGUAGGUAGGGGAGAUCGGAAUUCCUGGUGUAGCGGUGAAAAUGCGCAGAGUAUCAGGAGGAACACCGGUGGCGAAGGCGGAUCUCUGGGCCUUAAGCCUGGACGCUGGAGGCGCGAAAGCUAGGGGAGCGAACAGG
rnacentral:rRNA from 1 species